rnacentral:snRNA from 1 species
AUUGCUUCUCAGCCUUUUGGCUAAGAUCAAGUAUAGUAUCUGUUUUAAUUAGUUUGAAAUUGUCCACUUCUGAUGUUAUGUUUGCUAAAGGAUCACUGAAUCCUGCUCCAGUCUCAUGGCCUGAACCCCUU